rnacentral:rRNA from 1 species
UACGUAGGCAGCAAGCGUUGUUCGGAAUUACUGGGCGUAAAGAGUGUGUAGGCGGUGCUCUAAGUUCGGUGUGAAAUCUCCACGCUCAACGUGGAGGGGCCACUCGAUACUGCCAUGACUCGAGUCCGGUAGAGGAGUGUGGAAUUCCCGGUGUAGCGGUGAAAUGCGCAGAUAUCGGGAGGAACACCCGUAGCGAAGGCGGCACUCUGGGCCGGAACUGACGCUGAGGAGCGAAAGCGUGGGGAGCAAACAGG